CAACAGUGAUGAGCUUCAACUUUAGUCCGUGUUUUUGAACACAAUGAUAUUAUCAAAGUUCUGAGUGA
ensembl:snoRNA SNORD18 Small nucleolar RNA SNORD18